AAACAACUUACAUCGUCUUUGGUGGAAAAGACCCCAUAUGGCAGAUUUUCAAUGGGAAAAUCGCAGUAUUUUUCGUAUCUUAUGAAGCACUUCAUUGUGAUGGGGACAGCGAACGACUGAGCGGUUUGUUAGCCAAGAAAACUGGUUGCUUUAUGUAUGCAAAACGACAAUAACAAUCGUGACGAAUCAAAUUUUUAAUGCCACACUGUAUUUUUUAGUUAAUUAAAUUGACUAUGUGUCUGUGGUAUAUAUAUACAUUUUAUUCGAUAAAUACUUUACAUACAGGAUCUUUACAAUAAUUCUUGGAUGCUAAGAAGCAACUAAUAAACGAGGUUACUCUAUACUUUGAUUUUUUACAUUUAGGCAAUAUAAUACUUUGGACCCAAAAUUCGCAAAAAAUGUUAAGAAUUUUGGGCCACUCUGUAUAAUAACAUAUCGGUACAUGUACAUGUCGCCACAAACAAGCGAUUUUUUUUUUCAAAUAAUAUUUCAUAUAAAAUGGAAGACUUUGUGUUUUGUUGUUCCACACAGGAAGUAACAAAUCGAUAAAGACCGCUGAAUUGGAUAACAACUCAAUAAACAACGAAUAUGCUAUAAUUUGGCAGUUUCAACAAUUUUAUACAUUUCAUUUCUAACCAUAUAAACAUCUAUAACAACUCACUUGAACUCGUUAUAUAUGUUUUCUUUGGACCGUAAAAUAUAACUGGUGCUUCCCCUAAUUUUGUAGGACUCUUUCUAGUGUUUAGUGAAGAAAAUAAAUGGAACAAAACAGAAAAAGCACCAUUUGACUUAGUUCUAAUUUAGCGAACUAAACUCGAAACUUUUCUAUACAACAUUAUUGCGUCAGCUACACAUUUUUUACCAUAUUAGAAAUAUACGCUACGCACACUUAGUGUUUUUUGGUAUUUUCUAAUGCAAUAUUUUACAUUUAAGACAUUAUUUAACAAUGGUUUAAUAAAUUAUAAGUAAUGAUAAAAUCUGGACAUCGAUUAAAUCAACUUCUAUCACAAAUGUUAACACAUCGAGAUUUUUUACGUCGAAAAAUUUUCUCUCAACUUAUUUUUACGAAACUACUCUAGCUGAUAUGUUUUUAGUUGAUAAAAUUGGUUGACUUUACUUUUUAUAAAUUAACUCGUCUGCGUCCAAAUUAUCUAAUUUUGUUAUAAAGCAGGUUUCGGUUAAGUUUGUCCAGAGUGGACAAUUUGAAACGAAACUCCCUAUAUUUUUGGCACCUAAUUUUCUAUUCCUAAGUUUACCUAUUAAUAAACGAGCGAUUUAAUUGACUUUCAAUUUAACGUAAAUUGGUAAUUGACCUUUCAAGGUUUUGUCAUUCAAUUAACACAAAUAAAGUGUGCUAUUAACAAUACGAGUUAGUUUUAUGAUAAGAUAAGGAACAAA